rnacentral:rRNA from 1 species
UACGUAGGGUGCGAGCGUUAAUCGGAAUUACUGGGCGUAAAGCGUGCGCAGGCGGUUCGUUGUGUCCGUCGUGAAAGCCCCGGGCUUAACCUGGGAACUGCGAUGGAAACUAGCGAGCUGGAGUGUGGCAGAGGGGGGGGUGGAAUUCCGCGUGUAGCAGUGAAAUGCGUAGAGAUGCGGAGGAACACCGAUGGCGAAGGCAGCCCCCCUGGGCUAACACUGACGCUCAGGCACGAAAGCGUGGGGAGCAAACAGG